rnacentral:rRNA from 1 species
UACGUAGGGCGCAAGCGUUGUCCGGAAUUAUUGGGCGUAAAGAGCUCGUAGGCGGUCUGUCGCGUCGAAUGUGAAAACCCGGGGCUCAACUCCGGGCUUGCAUUCGAUACGGGCAGGCUAGAGUUCGGUAGGGGAGUCUGGAAUUCCUGGUGUAGCGGUGAAAUGCGCAGAUAUCAGGAGGAACACCGGUGGCGAAGGCGGGACUCUGGGCCGAUACUGACGCUGAGGAGCGAAAGCGUGGGGAGCAAACAGG